rnacentral:rRNA from 1 species
UACGUAGGGUGCAAGCGUUUGUCCGGAAUUAUUGGGCGUAAAGAGCUCGUAGGCGGUUUGUCGCGUCGAAUGUGAAAACCCGGGGCUCAACUCCGGGCCUGCAUUCGAUACGGGCAGACUGGAGGUAUGCAGGGGAGAACGGAAUUCCAGGUGUAGCGGUGAAAUGCGUAGAUAUCUGGAGGAAUACCGGUGGCGAAGGCGGCAUCCUGGACCGACAUUGACGCUGAACGGCGAAAGCUAGGGGAGCAAACGGG